CAUCUUUGAGAAACCACCCUAAUACUUCAGUAUUAACAGAGAUUAAUACCUCCUCAAAGCCC
rnacentral:tRNA from 1 species